rnacentral:lncRNA from 1 species
CAGUCUGGAGUGAGCCAGGGUGGACAUGCUGCGGGGACGGUCUCCCGUCUAUAACUGUCCUCUGUGUCCUCCGGGCACACAGGGAACAGGAUUAAAGGUGCCAGAGAUGUGGGUCCCUACAGCGAUCUUGGACCUGCACAGAACACUGGAUCAUGCAACAAGCAGCCGGCAAAGCUCCAGGGAGGACGGAGUUGGAGUGUGCAGCCCUCGGCAGAACUUUGGAGGCCUGGGCAACACCAAGAACUAGAGAGGCUUGCAGCGCAGUUCUGGGCUCUGUGGCACGUGGCAUGGGAUCUGCAGCAAACUCAGUGAACGGCAGGCAGGACCUGGGCGAGCUGUUGAAAGUUGUCUUUGUUUACGGUCAUUCUCGGAUGCAAAGGCCCCAGAAGACUCUAAUCCUUGUGGAAGGAAAACGCGGCAUGAGGAGUCUAUUGUUGACCUUCCUGAAGUGGUUGCCCUCAAGAAGAAACACGAGGCAUCCUUGCAUCUGGCCGAGGCUCACGGCAUGGGGGCCCGGGCCCUGCAGCCGAGCUGCUGUGGAAUAGCUCAGCCUGGAUCCCGAGGCUGCGGAUGUUACGAUGGGAGCAUCCGCGAAGAGCUCUGGUGCUUCAGGAGGAUGCAUUGAAGGCAAGGAGGAGCGGACGGGCUCUCCGUGGACUCCUGUCAGUGCCACGCACGCCACCCCGCCGUCACCACCUGCAGUGCUGCGAUCCCUCGGUGGAGUGUGUCAUGGAGCGGGAUGGCGCAGCCCAGGUAAAGAGCGUGCGCAGCGGUUAGCGGAAAACACCCGCAUUUCGGAAGAGCCUGGGAGAGAUGCGCUUCCUCACCUGUGGCAACAAGGAUUUUCUGGCGCUCUGCGGGCUGCCGAAAUUGAUGCCUUUGGACCAGCUGCUGGAGCAGAACCUCGGUGUGGUUGGGGUGGGAUCUCCUGCCACCUCAGUGAUUGAGUCCAGAGCCAGGCUCGCCUGCAUGAACUCAUGCCAAAGAAAUAGUGCCUGCUGCUUUAAAGGACAGAUGAAGCUGGGGACCGAUUGCAGCUGGAGCAUUCCUGUCAUCUGUUGGUGCCUCUACUGGAGAGGCCCCUGGACUAGGCUACGCGUGAAGAAAUAGAAGACUGGGUCUUUCUUGCGCUCCCUUAGAGGAACUGUCCCUCACCCAGGACAGUGUGUGGCCUUUCUGAGCCAGUUCAAGGAACUGUGGCCAUCUCACGAAAAAGACAUUUCCUCCGCUACUGAAGGUGGCCCCCUCACUCCGAGCGGCGUUUUGCAAACUGUAAGAAAAGGCUUCACAUCCUUCCUUUGCUAAAUCUCACCUUUAACAAUGAAAGCGACACCCCUUGCUUUUCUGGUUCGUUAAACAGAUGUUUCAUUUUAAAGAAACCCAGAAAUCUAGGAAUGUCACAUCCUUGCAAUUUUAAGAGUCCACUAGUACAGGGUUAUCAAAAAUGCAAGUGGAAAAGCAUGUCGGCCGGCGAGUCAGCAGAUUGUCAUCAUAAAUACAAUGCCCACUGGAUGCCACGCGCCACUUGACCUCCAAACCUCAUAGCAGCACUAUGGGGCAGGAGCUCCUGCUUCCAGUUUAUAAGGGAAGACUUGAGGUCCUGGGGCUUUAAGCAUCUUGUACAGGCAGAUUGGUCUGACUUCAGAGAACCUGCACCAACACACUGAAAGAUGUUGUUUCUGCUCGUUUCUAGUUAGGGCAUGGGCAAGCGUAUGACGGAAGAACACUAUCAGCCUCCACGGGAAAGCACUCCAGGAGCCGAUGUGGGUCCAAAUAUACAGUUCAUAGCUGCUGAACAAAAGCCAGGUGUGAAGCUGAGUCUACACUGGAAGCCCUGGGUCCGCUGAGGCCUCGCCAUCCCAGUGUGGCCCCGCAGCGGCCUCCCCAGGAGCUGGUUAGAGAUGCUGAUCCCUGCCCUGCCCCUGUCCCCCAGCUCAGAACCCUCCCUAAAGAGAUGCCCAGGAGAUCGUGUGCAUGAUGACAUUUGAGAAACUCCACUCUAAGAUACAGUGGCUGAGAUGGAGCCAGCAGGAAGGCUGGGGCAGGCAGAGAUGGACAAGCAGCUGCCUUUGAGUUGCUGUGGCAGCAACAUAGCGGCCAGUGGUUUGGCAAAGAAGGUAACAUCAAGGCUUGGUCAAUGCAGCAGGGGCAAGAGUCCAAGCAGUGCUACCCCAACUUGACAAGAGAGGCAGAGAAACCCAAGAAUUCCAGCUCAUCUGUCUGGACACUCCACAGCCACCAAAGAGCCAGCACUAUCUCCCUGGAUCUGGGCACCUUCCAACCUUGAGAAGACUCAGGACGGCAGAAUGGUGUGCUGUGAGGAAGUCUGGAGGCAGCUAGCCUUGGAGUCUGCUCUGUGGCAGCUGCCCACUUCCUGGACCCAGGCUGGCCACAGGCUCUCCCAGGCAUCCUGCAGUCAGAAGGAGGAAGAGGAGAGAAAAGGGAUAAAGGAGAGAACAAAGCUGUCAACACUCUUGUUGGAGGGACUUGAAUUAACCACUCAGAAUUCUGGCAUGAAUGGAGAGGGCUGCUCCCACAGUAUAACUGCGCCAUGCCUUGCACCAACUCUCUGCAUCCUGAUUUUAGACAGGAGGACACACCAAUUUGAAGAAAUGAUGCUAUUUCCAGGGCUGAGAGCCCUGGAAGAAUCCAGACGGGUCUGUCUGCUGCAUUGUAGAGCUGUAAUGUAAUGUAAUGUAAUGUAAUGUAAUGUAAUGUAAUGUAAUGUAAUGUAAUG